rnacentral:rRNA from 1 species
CGGCGUAAAGCGUGGUUAAGAUACCUAAUAAAUAGGGCCGAAUAGUUUCAAAGCAGUCAAAUAUAUUCGAAACCACGAAGCACAUCUACGAAGGUGGCCCUAACACCUCUGACCCCACGAAAGCCAUAACACAAACUGGGAUUAGAUACCCCACUAUGUAUGGCCGUUAAAAUUGAUGGUACUUCACUCGAACCAUCCGCCCGGGAAUUACGAGCCCUAGCUUAAAACCCAAAGGACCUGGCGGUGCUUUAGAUCCCCCUAGAGGAGCCUGUCCUGUAACUGACAACCCCCGUUAAACCUCACCACCCCUUGUCAAUCCCGCCUAUAUACCACCGUCGUAAGCUUACCCUAUUGAAGGAUAAAAAGUAGGCUCUAAUAGUAGUACUAAAGACGUCAGGUCGAGGUGUAGCGUAUGGGGUGGGAAGAGAUGGGCUACAUUCCCUAAUGAAGAGAAUACGAACGGUGAUUUGAAAAAAUCACACUGAAGGAGGAUUUAGUAGUAAGGAAGGAGCAGCGUGCCCUACUGAAAAUGGCCCUAAAGCGCGUACAGACCGCCCGUCACUCUCUCCGAAAUAAAUUCCUCUGUACAUAACACAUAAAAUAAGAUAAGGUGAGAUAAGUCGUA